CUCUCCUGGCCUAUCUAUUUCCUGUCCUCUGUGCUCAAGGGAGGAUGGCAAGACACAAGACACCAUCCCUUUCCGUGUAGGAGGCCAUCCUAAGAAAGGGGCAGCCUUAGAUGGGCAUGAGAGGACAAU